GCAGGUGGAAGGCAGGAGAUUGAACAGGUUUUUAUUUUUCUUUUCUUCCUUUUUUUUAAAAUCCCUUAUUAAAAUUUUCUUUGUCGAUUUCUUCUUACCAUCUUCAGCUGAGUUCUUUGGCGGCUGACCAUGGUUUUGCACAGUGGUAACACAAAGGCCAAUUCUGUUUCUUUUUUUUAGGCUGCCGGGAAUAAUCUCAUGUUUCUGGGCAACUUUCAUAUUUUCAAAUACAUUAUUUCCAAAACUCUUAUUAUUAUAUCUACUUUAAGAAAUUCCACUCUUGGCCAUGAGAGUGAUCUGUCAGCAGACUGGUCAGGGUACCUUUUCACCACUACAGUUUCACCCUGGAGUAAUGGAAUAAAGAAGACAGUGUUUGGGCACUGUGGUAGGAAAGGAAAAUGGGAGUUUUAUUAUCCCCCACCUAUAACUAAAACUCGUUAAACAAUUAUGUUUUAUAUUAGAAUGUUAACUCUGUAAAGAACAUGGUAUGUGUUGCACAGAAAGGUAGAGUUUUAGGUCAUUUUCUUCUUUUCUGACAAAAAGUUAGUCUUUCCUCAGUCCUGCAGGUGAUGAGAACUCUGUAUGGGACACCCAUAUCAACAGCUGGUAGACGACGCAGGACUCCGGAGUAGAUGUGGCAUUCUGCCUUCAUAUUAUUCUCAAUCAGACUGGUGUUUGAGUAACUCACAAAGAAGUUCAGAAGCCACUGCGCCAGCCACGGAGGUACACGGCUCAACUCUCCUUCCAGACAGAAGCUGCUGGGAGGAGCUCCAGCUACCACAGCAGUCAUUCUGAGGCUACGCCUUCCCCAGGCUGCUUCUAGCCAAUAACUCUGCACAGCAGGGAGACUGGAGCCUCAAAUAUUUUGAAGAAUGAAUUUGAAGGCAAAUUCAUACUGAGAGAUAGCUACAGACAAUCUCCACAGCUGGAGGAGGCAGGGAUUUUCAUGUUUCAGUGUUCCCGCAUUCUGAGACUGUGAAGGAUGGUUCUGCUAACCAUGGAGAAAUGCAACCCAGCCUGGCCAGAAGCUGCUGCAGAUUCCACGUCCUCCCUCUGCUAGAACCUCUUUCCCAGAUUUGUUUGGAGUUGGGUGUGGCUGAGUUUGAGUUCCAGCCAGCCACGUUGGAGUGCAUGCUGUCCUGUUUCCGGGUCAUGGCUUAAGAAGAACCUAUCCUCUUCCAGUCUUUCUCUCUUCUCACUGGAUGAAAAGCAGGAGGAGACCAAUGCCUUCUGCCAUGGGAUGAUGCAUCAAGAAGACCCUUACCAGAUGCCAGUCUUGGACUUCCCA
rnacentral:lncRNA from 1 species